UACGGGAGGCAGCAGUGGGGAAUAUUGCACAAUGGGCGCAAGCCUGAUGCAGCGACGCCGCGUGAGGGAUGACGGCCUUCGGGUUGUAAACCUCUUUCAGUAGGGAAGAAGCGAGAGUGACGGUACCUGCAGAAGAAGCGCCGGCUAACUACGUGCCAGCAGCCGCGGUAAUACGUAGGGCGCAAGCGUUAUCCGGAAUUAUUGGGCGUAAAGAGCUCGUAGGCGGUUUGUCGCGUCUGCCGUGAAAGUCCGGGGCUCAACUCCGGAUCUGCGGUGGGUACGGGCAGACUAGAGUGAUGUAGGGGAGACUGGAAUUCCUGGUGUAGCGGUGAAAUGCGCAGAUAUCAGGAGGAACACCGAUGGCGAAGGCAGGUCUCUGGGCAUUAACUGACGCUGAGGAGCGAAAGCAUGGGGAGCGAACAGGAUUAGAUACCCUGGUAGUCCAUGCCGUAAACGUUGGGCACUAGGUGUGGGGGACAUUCCACGUUUUUCGCGCC
rnacentral:rRNA from 1 species